GGAAAAAGGCUAUCUGCGUCUAUGCCGCUGGGCAAGCAAUGCUUUGAGGCAUAAUUCUGCUGAGACUAUCGACAAAGGUGAUCUAUACAGAUGGCCUGUGCCCGAGCCAUAUUGCCAUUAUCGUCAACAUAUUCUUCAACAUAGAAAGAAUGUGUCCUAAAUUAUUGGUGUGGAAUUGUUGCUCCAUUUUCUGUCUGUAUUUAGACAACUAGUUUUACUUGUGCCUCUUCAUCAAGGAAGUAUUGAACUAAGUAUUGUCAUCCAGAUAUUCUAAGUGAGGUGCUUUGUAUAAGUAGAAAGGAAGGGUGCUAAAAUUAUUCGUGCGGAAUUGUUGUCUCCUUUUCCUUUCUGUAUUUAGCCUACUGGUUUUACUUGUGUCCCUUUAUUUAGAAAAUAUUGAACCACUUGACGCAUGCUAUGUGAAUUAUACUGCCCUGGACAGUAAAUUUGGGCCCA